GAUGAAGAACGUAGCGAAAUGCGAUACGUAAUGUGAAUUGCAGAAUUCAGUGAAUCAUCGAGUCUUUGAACGCACAUUGCGCCCCCUGGUAUUCCGGGGGGCAUGCCUGUCCGAGCGUCAUUGCUGCCCUCAAGCCCGGCUUGUGUGUUGGGUCUCGUCCCCAUUCCCGGGGGGACGGGCCCGAAAGGCAGCGGCGGCACCGCGUCCGGUCCUCGAGCGUAUGGGGCUUUGUCACCCGCUCUGUAGGCCCGGCCGGCGCUUGCCGAUCAACCAAAACUUUUUUCCAGGUUGACCUCGGAUCAGGUAGGGAUACCCGCUGAACUUAAGCAUAUCAAUAAGCGGAGGA
rnacentral:misc_RNA from 1 species